rnacentral:lncRNA from 1 species
GCUACUAUAGGAUUGUAGAGGAGGAGGAGGAGGAGGAGGAGGGGAGUAGAGGAGAAGCCAGAACAAGAGCUUAUUUACCAAUUUGAUGCUUUGUACGUUUUGCUGGAGGGAUUGAAAGGAAAGCUUUAGAAGAGGGUAAUUAAGGAGGGUGAGUGAGAGAGAAAGAUGAAGGAAGGAAGAGUCACUUGGAAAGAAUUUGAGGUCUACCCUUGGAGAGAGGGAGUAUGUAUGAGAAAAUGACACUCGAGAAAAGAAUAGAGAUCAAAACGGUCAAAACACCAAAGAAACGGAGGCCUUUCGGCCCUGCUACACUGGACACACCGGGUUAUAAAACUACCACUAUAAAUUCCAAGAAUGAUAAAGAGAGAAGGGGAGAAGAGAGAGAAGGGAAAGAUUUGGAGAAAGAGUGAGGCUCGUGCGGGGAUUCCUUUUCCCCCACUCCCUGCGGUUUAGAACUGUGAAAGUCUCGCUCCGUCUCUCUCAUCCCCCCCACCCCUUUUCUUUUCUUCUUCCUUUUUU